rnacentral:lncRNA from 1 species
AGUAAAACGCUCUUUUUGCUAUCAAGUUUUUAACCCUUGGAUAAAAAAUUGUAGGGUCAAGAUGAUAUUAGUCGGUUAGAGUUGAGUGGUCCCCCUAGGGUUGAGUGGUCCCCACUGGGUUAUAGUAUUUAAUCCAAUGGUUAGAAAUAAUGAAAAUAGUUGAUCCAAAGGCUAAAAAACUGAUAGCAACAAUAGAAUUUUGCUACUAAUAAUAAUCCAGUCCAUCUCUCUCUCUCUCUCUCUCUCUCUCUCUCUCUCUCUCUCUCUCUCUCUAUAUAUAUAUAUAUAUAUAUAUAUAUAUAUAUAUAUAUAUAUAGAAAAUGAGAGUUUCUAUCUAGUCUUAACCUUAAUUUUUCUGUGACAACUAGCUCCAUCUCGGAAGUAAGGAAAUAAACUGAAGAUAUUCCAUUCUGUUGUAGAUCGUGAAUUAGAAAGAACGUCAGAAAACAAAAUUCUCUUUGUAGAUUGAAAAAAUAUGAUUUUAUUAUUCAUAUUGAUAACAAAUAAUUAAUUAAUGCUUAUAUUAAUCCUAAUCAUUGUUAGUUAAUUCGCGAAUUAUUUGUGAAUUAUUUAAAAUCCGAAUUAAACGAUCCGCUUACGAAUUUUUUCUAAAGAAAGAAAAUUAUUCGCGAAUUUUUGAGUCAGCCAAAUAAUUUGCGAAUUAUUGAAAAUUUGAAUAAAAAAUUUAUAAUUUUUAUGUUUAAAUAUAGAUUACCUUAUAUUUUAUAUCUUAUAUUUUAUAUUUUAUACUGAAUUUAUUUUUUAAGCUGAAUUUUUCAACGAAUUUAAAAAUUAAAAAAUAAAUUUUAUAUGUAUUAUAUCCGUACCGAAUUUUUGCCGAAUCCGAAUUAACUAUGAUCCUAAACUCAGCAGCAACAAUAAC